ACACUCCUGCGGGAGGCAGCAGUGGGGAAUAUUGGACAAUGGGCGCAAGCCUGAUCCAGCCAUGCCGCGUGAGUGAUGAAGGCCCUAGGGUUGUAAAGCUCUUUCACCGGUGAAGAUAAUGACGGUAACCGGAGAAGAAGCCCCGGCUAACUUCGUGCCAGCAGCCGCGGUAAUACGAAGGGGGCUAGCGUUGUUCGGAUUUACUGGGCGUAAAGCGCACGUAGGCGGACUAUUAAGUCAGGGGUGAAAUCCCGGGGCUCAACCCCGGAACUGCCUUUGAUACUGGUAGUCUUGAGUUCGAGAGAGGUGAGUGGAAUUCCGAGUGUAGAGGUGAAAUUCGUAGAUAUUCGGAGGAACACCAGUGGCGAAGACGGCAUACG
rnacentral:rRNA from 1 species